CAUUUCUGAAAUUAUCAAAAAGACUAAUAGUAUUUUAGCAUUGCUCAGUAAAACCUUUGUUGGCUACCUCCCAAAUAUCUAUUUAAAGCUAUGGUACGUCCACACUUAAAAGUUUGCAUCGCCAGUCUAGAACCCUCAUCUUAUUCAGAAUAUUGAUCUGCUGGAAUCUGUCUAAAGACAUGCAACCAGAUGAAUACCUUCAGCUAAUCACUUACCGUAUCUUAAAUGUAUCUCACCAUAUCUGCUCUGGAAAAUGACACAAAGUUUUGACAUAUAGCUGCUGAUUUGGUACAAGAUUAUCCACCUUCUUUUGGAAUUCAAUAGCUUUACCACAUGUGAAAUCAAAAAUCAGUGCAGCACUCAUGAUUUUUUGGAAACCUCAUUCAAUGCUCAGUUGUUGAAGAAUGGAACAAGCUACUCACGUCAGUUGUUAGCUAUUAGGAGACUACCGCCUUUAAAAACUCCAUGCUUCCUGAAAUUCACCAAUGCCACUUUUGAUAUACCUGUGCACCUUUUAUUCUUUAUGGCUCAUCUAAUAUUGAUUUUUAUGUCUAUUUUGUGCUUUAUUCUGUUUAAUGAAGCAACAGAUUCUAGUGAAACCAGUUGAUACCAAGAUAUCUGAUCUUGCUUUGUGGUUUAUGCAAAGGUAAGGCCUAUUUUUAUUAUAUUUCUUUACAUUCACCACGUUUCUUAAUUGUGAGAAAUUUGCAGCUCUGGAGUGUUGACUGGUAUUUCAGUACCCUAAUUUAUUUGUGUGUGUAUACACACACACAAUGGGCUUCUUUCAAUUUCUGUCUACCAAAUCCACUCACAAGCUUUGGUCAGCUCAAGGCUAUAGUAGGUGUCAUGCAGUGGAACUGAAUAUAUAUAUAUAUAUAUAUAUAUAUAUAUAGAGAGAGAGAGAGAGAGAUAUCUCUAAUAGUGACUUUGUUCUAUUAUAGCUUAAAUAUAGCCAUUUUCCAUUGAUAAUUUGUAUUAGUAUUUUUCAUUGAUAAAAUAUAUUCGUAAUUUUCAUUGUUAAAAGAAUUUUCCAUUUGUUUAUUAUUAGUUUAGUUAAUGACACGAUUUUUGAAAGCUUAGUAAACCUUUUUAUUAAAGUUAUUUUAAUAAUUUAUGUUAUAUUGCAUACUAUAUAACUAAGGAUUGAUAAUUUGAUUGUAUAAAUAUUUUGUUGUUGACGAUAUGUAUUUCAUUAUUAGAUUAUAACUAUACGGUUUUUGUAAGUUAUUAAUUAGCCAACGAGAUAUAUUGAUCGUUAAAUAGUUAAACGUUUUUUUUUAAGAUAGGUUUUACGUUUAUAAUUUGCUUUUUCAUCUUUAAUUCUUUAAUAUAUUUUGUAAGUAAUAAUGGAAUAAUUAAUUUAUUUAGUUUUCAUUAUAUGUAUAUAUAUUUAUUGAUAGAGAAAAUUUUAGAUCUUAAUUAUUAUAUUUAUUGAUAAUAAUUUAGUUAUUAUUCUUAAAUAUAUUAGAUUUGAACUUAAAUUUAAAAAUAUGAAUAGUGAUUAUUUUUUUGUUAAAUAAUUUGGUAAUUAGAUAUUGACUAUAACUGAAAUUAGGUUAUUCGUGAGUUUAUUAUGUUUUGUAAAGCCAUAUUAUAUCUUAAUAGAUAAAUACAUUUUUUAUCUAUUUUUACCUUAAAAAUUAAUAUUUAACAUUAUAAUUGGAUUGUAUGACAUAAUCCUAAUCAUUAAAGUUUCUAAUUUGAUAAUAGAGUUUUUUAUAAGAAAAAUUAUUAUUUUAUUUAUUUCUUAAAAAAUAUUGUUUAAAUAUAUUUGCUUAUUUAUUUAACUAUUAUCAUUAACCUGAAGAUUGACUAUAAUUAUAAUUUGAAUUUUAAUUCGAAUUGGGUUAUGGCCAUGAAACGUACGUAGUGGUUUUACUUAUAUUAUAUAAACUUUUUAAUACUUUUUGAUAGUUAUAUUUAAAAUAUAUAUAUAUUUAAAAAAAUAUAAACAUUUAUAAAUAUAAAUUAAAAAUUUUAAAUUUUAUAUUUUUUGUAUAUUAUAUUUAUUUUUAUGUUUUGGUUUAUGUUUUUCACUGUUUGAUUCAUCACAUCAGCUCUUCAUGUAAGAAUCUGGCUAGCGUUGUAUUCUGUGGUUGCUGGAUAAGAAGUCUGCUUCCCAAUCACAUGGCUCUGGGCUCACUUCUACUGCAUGGCACCUUGGGCAAGCAUCUUCAAUAGCCUCAGGGUGACCAAUGUUUCAUGAGUGGAUUUGAUAGAAACUGAAAGCCCAUAUUUAUAUACAUACAUACAUUUUAUAUAUAUUGUAUACAUGCAUACAUUAUAUAUAUAUAUACCAUCCGAACGUGGCCAUUGCCAGCGCCGCCCCGACUAGCCUUGUACCGGUGGCAUGUAGAAAGCACCAUCCGUUCGUGGCCGUUGCCAGCCUCGCUUGGCCCUUGUGCCGGUGGCACAUAAAAAGGAAAACCAUCCGAUCGUGGCCAUUUGCCAGACUCUUCUGGCACGUAAAAAGCACCCACUACACUCAUGGAGUGGUUGGCGUUAGGAAGGGCAUCCAGCCGUAGAAACAUUGCCAGAUCAGACUGGGCCUGGUGCAGCCUUCUGGCUUUCCAGACCCCAGUUGAACCGUCCAACCCAUGAUAGCAUGGAAAGCGGACGCUAAACGAUGAUGAUAUAUAUAUACACACACACACACAACUACACAUUACAUAUAUAUAUAUAAUACACACAUACACAUAGAUAUCUAUGAGUGUGUGUGUGUUUGUCUCCCUCCACAACCAGACAACUUGUUUUGGUUUGUAUCCCCAUAACUGAGCAGUUCAAUAAAAAGAGACCAUCAGAAUAUAGAACUAUAUAAUAGUUCUGUAGGACCAUUUGUUUGACUAAACCAUUCUAGUUGGUGCUCCAGCAUGGCUGCAGUCUAAUGACUGAAGCAAAUAAGUAGAAGAUAAAAGAGUUAGUUACCAUAAUAGACAAAAACAAACAAACAACCGUGCAGUAUUUAUUAUAAUAAUAUUUAUUUCGUUUGAACUUUAUUCCAGUCAUGUAUGUUUCACAUUUACAAUAGUUAACCUACUUCAAUAGCACAGAAGAUAAUAAUGUACCACAGGAGGGUGGCCAAGUGGAGGUGGCAAGGGUGGGGGUUUCAGUUGGUCCUGGACUCUUAUCAGCCAUGAAUUUUUAAAUGUCAAGACAAAACAAUAAUAGCAGUUGUUGUAUAAAGAGAAAUCAAAAGGACAGAUUACACACACGCACGCACACAUACACGCGCACACACACACACGCACGCACACAGAUAGGCAAAGUAUAGCAAAGAAAAUGUUAAUGAUAAAACAGGAGGGGAAAAUAAAGAUCUGUCAGUUAGUCCAUACCAUAUCAAAAUGGUCAAUUUUUCACCAUAAGGUAGUGGUCAAUAAUAUAAUUGUGGUCAAUUUGGUGAUCUUAUAGAGCAUACUAUAACAUGUUAGCAGUCGAUUGGUUAAACCAAACAAAUUUAUGAUUGGUUACCACAAGUCUUUGACUGGUCGGACCAGCCCUUGUUUUCAGUUCGUCAGACAAUCCAUGUCCAGUGGUUGGCCAAACAAUGAACAUGUAAAAAGUCAUUGACUGAUAAUUAGACAGUCUACCUUUUAUGUCUGUAGUUGGUCAGACUAAAACACCUAGCUGGGUCAGUGGCCAGUCAGACAGUCACACCAUACAGCAUUGGCUAAUUGGACAAAAAGAUAAUUUAUCAUAUCAUUCUGAACAUAGACGAGGGUUCAAAUUAUGAAAUGGAAACUGAGUCAAAUGUUAGACAUUAAAGACAACAACAAUAACAAUUACAACAAUAACAGCAGUCUUUUUCAUACUUCACAGUUCUAUUGUACAGGCAUUAGCAUAUCUGAGGUGUGUGUGUGUGUGAUUUUUUUUUUUUUAUAUGUGUAUGUUCAUCUAUUUCAUGUGUUUUUCGUUAUAUACAAAUUUAUAUAAUGUGUGAUUUAUUUAAAUUUGAAUUCCAUUAAAUUUCCAGAUUUGGAUGUGGUCCUUGCUUGUGUGUGGAAGUUCUCAGAAACUUGGAGUAACAAACUGGAAGAAAUCUGGAAAUCAUACCAGAUCAUCAUUGGACAGGCCAAGGAAGAAAUAACUCCAUUAUCUCUCUUUUUGUGAUGACAGUCACACCACAUAGCAUUGGCUAGUUGGACAAUAAAAGGCAAAAUACCUAUUUGAUAAUAAUGAAGAACUUGAAGUUUAUGAUGAAGAAAUCGAGAUUUGUAUUGUCUUUAUUGUAGAUCCAUGGAGACCGUUCAAUCAUUUCUAUUUUCAAUAACUAAAAGCAAGAACUAUUUUACUUAUUUCAUGUAUUGGAGGAGCUUGUAGGGGAAGAAGAAGGGUGCUAAAUUUUCCCAAACUGGAAGGGGUGAACAAUAAUGAACUGGAAAUGUUUGCUAUCAAACUUGUCAUUGUAACAGACCAAUCAAUGGAUACAUCUCACGAAUUUUUUUAGUGGAAAAUGAGAAAGAUGGAGAAUAGUACCUUUGUUUAAGGUGAGAAAGUAAUGAAACCUUCAUUGAGAAAGAUCCAAACAUGAUCAACACUGAUGAUAUCAGUCAGCAAGAUGACAUCUUAGAGUUUGAUGUGAAUAAAGUUUGGAAGGCUGUUCACUAAAUGGACAAAAUUCCAAUAAAUGGAACUAAAGCUCUUUUGUCCAGAUUCAUUAGUGACAGAAUAAGAGAUAAGUCUGUUGGACAAUUCCUGGUCCCAAAACUGAAAGAACUAGUUCAGAAAGCCAUGGACUAAUAGGAGACUAUUCUUUAUAUUUAACAGUAUUAAAUAACUUUCCUUGGUUUCAGCUGCAUGAAUUGCAAGUCUGUCCAAUUAGUUAUCAUCUAGAGAAGACACGAGUCAACACAAUUCUUUGCAAAUUCUAAGUCUAAGAAUUAUACACACGUUACUAUUGAUUGCAAAGUUUUAAGUGAAUAACUUUUUUUUUUAUUAUAAUUUUAAAAGUUCCCCCAUUUCUUUACUUCUCUCUUUUCUGUCGUACGACAUAGUCAAUGGAGAAAAGCUUUUAUGUAACCAUCUCACAUAACGGUCACGAGCUUAGAAUCUGAAGUUGACCAAUCAAUUUGUACAUUAACAGAUAGUAUUCUGAGAGACAUUAUUUUUUAAAAACAAAAUUUUUGUAACAAUAGCCAGAACAGACAUAAUUUGUGACAGUUCCAAUAUACUAUACACUUUUGAAAAUCUAAAUCAAUUGUAUUCCUCUAUUUCAAAGUAUAAUUAAAUUCUAAUUAAUUCUUAUUCUUUGUACAUUUUCAACUUCAUUUCUUCUACUCUUCUACUUGUUUGGAUUAAUACAUCAGUUACAUACAUGUAUAUAUUUGUGCAUUAGUGGAUAUGUUACAUGAAUGGUUAUAUGCUUGUGUGUGUGUUACACAGAAUGAAGCGAUUUCAAAACUUUGUCAACUAUAAUUAACAUACAAAUAAUAUACUAAAUUUAACCUGUGAUGUGAGAACAGCAAAUUUGUUACUUAAUACAAUUAAAAUAUUGCAACAACAACGUUUAAAAAAAAGACUUCAAUUUUUUUUUUUUACAUGUUUUGUUUGAUAGUGAUAGUGAAAAAAACCAGUAAUCUUAAAAAGACAUCAAAAUGGAAAGUGAUGAGGUUCAUUACACUUCCUUUUAGCCAACACUGAUGGGUGUGAAGAAGCCUUCCAGCAACACUGAAUAUAUAAACUGCAAAGAACUUACCACCACACCACGACCCACCUCUGCACACAUGACCACGAUAAUAAUAUCAAGAAGAAUCUUUUCUACUCUAGGCACAAGGCCUGAAGUUUGAUGGUCAGGGGGACAGCAGAUUUCAUCAACGCUAGUACUUAUUUGGUACUUAUUUUAUUGACCAGCAGAUAAAGGACGAAAGGCAAAGUUGACCGUAGCAGAAUUUGAAAUCAGAACAAAAAGCCUGAAGAAAAUCUGCUAAGCAUAUUGUCCAGCAUGCUACCUUAAUAAUGAUAAUAAUAGUAAUUUCAGAUUUUGGCACAAGGCCAGCAAGCUUGGACAUUGGGGUAAGUUGGUUACGUUGACCUUACUGUUCAACUGGUACUUAUUUUAUCAACCCUGAAAGGAUGAAAGACCAAGUCGACACUGGUGGUACUUGAAUCCUGCCAACUUGUU
rnacentral:lncRNA from 1 species